GACGAACGCUGGCGGCGUGCCUAAUACAUGCAAGUAGAACGCUGAAGAGAGGAGCUUGCUCUUCUUGGGUGAGUUGCGAACGGGUGAGUAACGCGUAGGUAACCUGCCUUGUAGCGGGGGAUAACUAUUGGAAACGAUAUCUAAUACCGCAUAACAAUGGGUGACACAUGUCAUUUAUUUGAAAGGGGCAAUUGCUCCACUACAAGAUGGACCUGCGUUGUAUUAGCUAGUAGGUGAGGUAAUGGCUCACCUAGGCGAAGAUACAUAGCCGACCUGAGAGGGUGAUCGGCCCAACUUGGACUGAGACACGGCCCAGACUCCUACGGGAGGCAGCAGUAGGGGAUCAUCGGAAAUGGGGGGAACGCUUACCGAGCAAAGCCGGGUGAGUGGAGAAGGGUUUCGGAUCGUAAAGCUCUGUUGUAAGUCAAGAACGGGCGUGAGAGUGGAAAGUUCACACUGUGACGGUAGCUUAACAGAAAGGGACGGCUAACUACGUG
rnacentral:rRNA from 1 species